rnacentral:rRNA from 1 species
CGCGAAAACUUUGCAAUACACGAAAGUGUGACAGGGCUAUCCCGAGUGCCAUCCGCUGAGGAAGGCUUUUACCCAGUCUAGAAAGCUGGGGGAAUAAGGAGAGGGCAAGUCUGGUGUCAGCCGCCGCGGUAAUACCAGCUCUCCGAGUGGUGUGGAUGUUUAUUGGGCCUAAAGCAUCCGUAGCUGGCUAAGUUAGUCCCUUGUUAAAUCCACCGAAUUAAUCGUUGGAUCGCGGGGGAUACUGCUUGGCUAGGGGACGAGAGAGGCAGACGGUAUUUUCGGGGUAGGGGUGAAAUCCUAUAAUCCCGGGAAGACCACCAGUGGCGAAGGCUGUCUGCUAGAACGCGCCCGACGGUGAGGGAUGAAAGCUGGGGGAGCGAACCGGAUUAGAUACCCGGGUAGUCCCAGCUGUAAACGAUGCAGGCUAGGUGUUUGGACGGCCACGUGCCGUUCUAGUGCCGCAGGGAAGCUGUUAAGCCUGCCGCCUGGGGAGUACGAUCGCAAGAUUGAAACUUAAAGGAAUUGGCGGGGGAGCAC